rnacentral:antisense_RNA from 1 species
AUCCAAUGUCUUGUUAGCCAGAGUAACGGCUGUCGUCAGGUCCUCAGGGUCUCGAGGUCGGUUUCUUCCUAACGCCGCCAACCCCAAGCUAAGGUAGACAUGAUAGCCAAGGCAGCUGAUUGUCCCAAGAAAUAAGUAUGAGCACAGAGGAAAAUCAUGAAACAUCUGAGGACCAUGAGAACUACUAAAACGUUACAUAGAACUAGCUAUACCAGAGAAAGUCAAGUGAAUGGAUCAGACAAUAAGAAUUGAAAAUAAGCUUAAUAGAGCUUCAGAGAAAGAAGGGAGAAUAUUGGAAACACAAAGCACAAACAAGCAUUUGUGAAUUGGAUGUUGACAAAUAUUAAUGAAAUAACUCAAUGAAUGGGUUGAAUAUAGCUGGACAGUUCACUCAUGAACUGGAAGAUUAGAGCAAGGAAGGAACUAAGAAAUGGAAAGCAUGAAAGGAGAGUUAAGAAAUGUGGAAGGUAGAAGCAUAAAUAUUUUUCUAAUAGAAAUUCCAGAGGGGGAAAAAAAGAACAUGUGAAAGAAUUAUUGCUGAGAAUUUCCCAGAAUUGAAGACAUACUUUAGAAUGAAAAAGGCCAACUCUAACUUUGGGAUUUCUAGCUUCGGAGGAAUGAAAAUUUAGAAUGACCAAGGGGA